rnacentral:tRNA from 1 species
GAGAGAGGCUGGCAGCAACAAAGACUGCUAAUUUUUGUCUCCCCCGGUUAAACUCCGCGGCUCCCUCG